rnacentral:snoRNA from 13 species
GAAAUGAUGAAUGGUCGACGGAACGGACCUAUGAAGAAUUGUUGCCGGACUGAC